CUCCCAUCCGUGUCUAUUGUACCCUGUUGCUUCGGCGGGCCCGCCGCUUGUCGGCCGCCGGGGGGGCGCCUCUGCCCCCCGGGCCCGUGCCCGCCGGAGACCCCAACACGAACACUGUCUGAAAGCGUGCAGUCUGAGUUGAUUGAAUGCAAUCAGUUAAAACUUUCAACAAUGGAUCUCUUGGUUCCGGCAUCGAUGAAGAACGCAGCGAAAUGCGAUAACUAAUGUGAAUUGCAGAAUUCAGUGAAUCAUCGAGUCUUUGAACGCACAUUGCGCCCCCUGGUAUUCCGGGGGGCAUGCCUGUCCGAGCGUCAUUGCUGCCCUCAAGCCCGGCUUGUGUGUUGGGUCGCCGUCCCCCUCUCCGGGGGGACGGGCCCGAAAGGCAGCGGCGGCACCGCGUCCGAUCCUCGAGCGUAUGGGGCUUUGUCACAUGCUCUGUAGGAUUGGCCGGCGCCUGCCGACGUUUUCCAACCAUUCUUUCCAGGUUGACCUCGGAUCAGGUAGGGAUACCCGCUGAACUUAAGCAUAU
rnacentral:rRNA from 1 species